GAUGAACGUUGGCGGUGUGCCUAAUACAUGCAAGUCGAACGGAGACUGUAGCAAUACUGUCUUAGUGGCGAACGGGUGAGUAACGCGUUGGUGAUCUGCCUCGAAGUGUGGAAUAACCUCCCGAAAGGGAAGCUAAUACCGCAUAGUCUCUCAAGGUUUAGAAAAUUGAGAGUAAAGGAUUUAUUCGCUUCGAGAGGAGCCUGCGUCCCAUCAGCUAGUUGGUAGGGUAACGGCCUACCAAGGCAAUGACGGGUAGGGGACCUGAGAGGGUGGCCCCCACAAUGGAACUGAAACACGGUCCAUACACCUACGGGUGGCAGCAGUAGGGAAUAUUGCACAAUGGACGAAAGUCUGAUGCAGCAACGCCGCGUGGAGGAUGACACAUUUCGGUGCGUAAACUCUUUUAUAUGGGAAGAUAAUGACGGUACCAUAUGAAUAAGCACCGGCUAACUCCGUGCCAGCAGCCGGGUAAACUGUAGUCGU
rnacentral:rRNA from 1 species